GUUGGUAAAUGUUUUAUUGUGUGAAAAAGUAAGUGCAAACCUUAAUGAAUUGUUUUGCUACUGUCAACUUGCAUAGAAUUAUAUCAUUUUUGCAUUGGAUUUCUCUAUAAUGAAGUCAUAGGUUUAAGCUAUACAUAGGAUAAGAUAGAUAUUGUGGAUUCAUUAUUUUAGGUUCAAGCUAUACAUAGGAUAAGAUAGAUAUUGUGGAUUCAUUAUUUUAGGUUCAAUAUAUACAUAGGA
rnacentral:lncRNA from 1 species